AGCAGCCGCGGUAAUUCCAGCUCCAAUAGCGUAUAUUAAAGUUGUUGCAGUUAAAAAGCUCGUAGUUGAAUUUCGGGACUAAUAUGUCGGUCGUACUUUGUACGUACUAGCAUUAUUGGUUUCUCCCUUCUGACGAACCACGAUGUCAUUAAUUUGGUGUCAUGGGAAAUCAGGACUGUUACUUUGAAAAAUUAGAGUGUUUAAAGCAAGCUCGCGCUUGAAUACAUUAGCAUGGAAUAAUGAAAUAGGACGUUUGAUUCUAUUUUGUUGGUUUCUAGGAUCGACGUAAUGAUUAAUAGGGAUAGUUGGGGGCAUUAGUAUUCAAUUGUCAGAGGUGAAAUUCUUGGAUUUAUUGAAGACUAACUACUGCGAAAGCAUUUGCCAAGGAUGUUUUCAUUAAUCAAGAACGAAAGUUAGGGGAUCGAAGACGAUCAGAUACCGUCGUAGUCUUAA
rnacentral:misc_RNA from 1 species